UACAGAGGGGGCAAGCGUUGUUCGGAAUUACUGGGCGUAAAGGGCGCGUAGGCGGCGUGGUAAGUCACUUGUGAAAUCUCUGAGCUUAACUCAGAACGGCCAAGUGAUACUGCUGUGCUAGAGUGCAGAAGGGGCAAUCGGAAUUCUUGGUGUAGCGGUGAAAUGCGUAGAUAUCAAGAGGAACACCUGAGGUGAAGACGGGUUGCUGGGCUGACACUGACGCUGAGGCGCGAAAGCCAGGGGAGCAAACGGGG
rnacentral:rRNA from 1 species